GUGAGUCAGAUAGCUGACUUCGGAACUAUGCUGUUAAAUCAGCAAACAAUAAAAUAAUUGUUUAGUUCUGAGGAAGGUCCGGGCAUCAUAAGAAGCGAUUGGUUGAAAAACCAAGUGUCGCGAGGCACAGCUCCGGAACAGAAACGACACAGCUCUCGUCGAGAAAUGAACCUUGCGGGAAUCGACGACGCGAGAGAUUUGAUGAAACGGCCGUCUUCGCUGAUGCAAGAGCCCAAGCCGCUCGCUAAGACAGAUGUCAGCGCGCACUGUUCGCAAAACGAAGUGCGACAAAACCUGGCCUAUUUCUGACUCAC
rnacentral:RNase_P_RNA from 1 species